ensembl:snRNA U4 U4 spliceosomal RNA
AGCUUUGUGCAGUAGCAGUAUCAUAGCCAAUGAGGUUUACCCUCAGCAAGAUUAUUGCAAACUGAAAUCAAAACUACUCUGAGAUUGCCUCUCACGCCAGUUAGAAUGGCAAGCCAUCAAGAUUGCAAACAAU